CAUAGACCGUGGAUCAGAAGCACCUCGAAGUUUAUGUAGAAGCCCUCAAGUUCGAGCAGACGGUAUCAGAUGUGUGUGCCAGAAUAGUGCAGGAAGAGUGUGCCGCAACUUUGCCGCAAACUGUGCCUGAGAAAAAAUCCAUACGAAAAAUAUACUUUCAGCAAAUGCGCUGCAAAUGUCUUGCUGCAGCAACUGGCUUAUAUUUUGAUGUACCUCUGGCGACGAAAACAAGAAGCCAGUGACGCCAUGUUGGAUCAGAGCCUCGUUUCCACCAUUACGCCUGGCAAUUACUGGUGUACCCAAAUCCAUAGCCUUAGAAGAUAAUAGAAUGAAAUCGAACCAAACCAUCCCCUGUCACCUCAAAUAAAGGACCUGGAGCUCCGGAAGAAAAUUAGGUCAACCCAUGGAAGUUUGUCCUACUAUUGUAUAAGGGUUGUCUCAAUUGCAAAAGAAAAUCAAAUUAGAGGGACGGAUUAUCCACAAAUUAGAGACACGGGAUAUCCACAAAUUAUCUUGCGUGUUAUACACAGGAUUUGAUCGAUACAGAUUACCAACCUCUAAAACAACAGCCGCCAUGCCCUCGCUUUCCGACGUGUUGACCAAGGAACUACUGUCCCUCAUACACGCAUGCGCGUUUUCUAUGCUCAUCUCACCCAAAUAUAUAACACCC